rnacentral:rRNA from 1 species
UGGGGAAUAUUGGACAAUGGGCGAAAGCCUGAUCCAGCCAUGCCGCGUGUGUGAAGAAGGUCUUCGGAUUGUAAAGCACUUUAAGUUGGGAGGAAGGGCAGUAAGCUAAUACCUUGCUGUUUUGACGUUACCGACAGAAUAAGCACCGGCUAACUCUGUGUCAG